rnacentral:antisense_RNA from 1 species
CUUCACCGAGCCCAGCCACAGCGGCCGGUCGCGGUGGGCGCUGCCGUAGGUGUUCAGCAGGGCGCGCGCCUC